CACCUGAUUGUUCUUGUAGCACGUUCAUUUAGAGGAAAUAAGUGCCCUGCAAAAUGCCGGCGGACAAGGACAUUCCAUUCAACUGGUGAGUGUAUGCGAUGAUAGUCACCAGGCCUCAAGUAUAGUAAAGGCCCUUUGUUGGACGUGCUGACACAGUGUCCCUGACUUUAGGAGAAGCCAAUGAAAAUCUCCACCAUGACUUCUUACUGUUUUCUCGAAGAUUGCUUUGUUGUUCACUACUCUUUUCUUGGACAUC
rnacentral:misc_RNA from 1 species